AUGGGCUGGUAUCGGCAGAGACCCGGGCAGGGGCUGGAGUUCGUCGCAAAAAUCAGCAACACUGGUGGCAGCACCGACUACGCGCCGUCGGUCAAGGGCCGGUUCAGGAUCUCCAGGGACAACGGGCAGAGCUCGGUGACGCUGACCAUGAGCAGCCUCAAGCACGAGGAUUCCGCCGUCUAUUUCUGCGCCAAAGCUGGACGUGAUGGUUGGGGUGCUGAUGCUGCUAAUGAUGACGACACCGGGCUGCGGGCGGCCGUGACCCUGCUGGAGUCCGGGGGGGACCUCCAGCCCCCCGGGGGGUCCCUGCACCUCCUCUGCCGCGCCUCCAGCUUCGAUUUCGGGAAGUUUGGAUUGUUCUGGUUCCGCCAGAGACCCGGGCAGGCGCCGGAGUGGGUUGCGAGUAUCAGCAGAGGCAGUGGCAAAACAUACUACGCGGAUUCGGUGCAGGGCCGGUUCACGAUGACGAGCGACAACGGGCAGAGCUCGGUGACGCUGACCAUGAGCCGCCUCAAGGACGAGGAUUCCGCCGUCUAUUUCUGCGCCAAAUCUUCUGGUGUUUAUGCAGGUCUUGAUGGAUAUCAUUUUGGCCUCGCCCCCCCUCUGAGCUGGCUCUGCCCCCAAUCUCCGCUGGUGGCUCCAAGUCUCAACCAAGCUCCCCAAAGCUGA